rnacentral:lncRNA from 1 species
UAGAUUUAACCGUAACUAAUAAAGCUAAAAAAACAUAUAAAACUUAAAAGUUAACUCAUAUUUCUCAAAUUCGCGCCUAUGGAUUAAUGUUCUUGGCCUUGCUGCACUGAAUCACACAUUAAAUAUCAAACUUGUUCAUCUAUGAAAUUACUGGCCUAUUAUAUUUGCCUAAUGUUUGGGGAUCUUUAUUGCUAACAAGAUUCAAAAAUUAACUAAUGCAUAGGGGGAAAAUAUAUAUAACUAAUGUUUAACUAAAAUACAAAUGUACUAUAACUAAGUACAUAAAUUUUGCCAUUUUAUUUCAUCUUCAAGACGUACAUCAAAGUGAUUCAAAGUGGUGUACCUGGUAUUGGAAUACAAAGAAGAUGAAGAUCAGUAGGAAGUAAUAGCAGCACACACACAACAAGAGCAGUUCAGCAACACGGGAGUAACCCAGUAACAGCGGGAAUAACAGAAAACCCAGGAGACAUACCAAUAAAAAAGUAUUCCGUUGCCAAAAAAUAAUUUUUGAUUUUUACCACUCAAGAAAAAGAGGCUUGAAGCUUUAAAGAACAAUAGCUGUUGAUGCUAAUUAUUAACAAUGAAGAAGAACAGAUUGUUUCAUUAACUUCUCUUUUCAACACUCAACAAUUCUUAAGAUUCAAGAGUCCUUUUCUUUCUUUCCUCUAGUACUCCAAUAUUUUCUCUCUAAAUUCCCUCUUUUAAGUGUCAAAUGACUGCUAUUAUAUACCCCAAAUGUAAGACUCCUUUCUUCAACCCUUUAAUUAUUAUUCCUCCCCUUUUAUCAUUCUACUAUUUCUAAUUCCGAAUCAGCAAAAGCAGUCAAACGUGGAUCCCACAAUUUACUAUCUUUUUACUUUAAUCAUUAUGCUCCCCACAUGCCUUGUCCCAUCUUUUUACUUUACAUAAUUAUGUUACCCACUAUAUUUAUAAAUAAUUCUUUAUUUUUCAAUUCCAAAAAAUAUCCCCCUCAAACUACUACAAUUACCAUUAUACCCUCAUCCAUUUCAAUCUGCACCAAGAACGUAUCAGCUAUAACGAAUUCAUUCAAACCAAUUAACCACAAUAUAGCAAAUAUAACAAAUUCUUAAUCAAACUCAACAAUUAAUCUCAUGAACAAACUCCUAAUCAACAACAUUUAAGAAUUAUUUCAAACAAAAUCAUAUUCACAUUUAAAGAUAAACUUACAGACUAAUUAGUAGAUUCAAAUUACUAAAAAUUAAAUCAUCAAUUGAACUCCAAAUUAACCAUACCAAGAUGAAGGAUUUUGUGACUAAACUAACACAUUUUUAGAUUAACCCAAACAAGAACAAAUGAACACUGUAAACAUUUUGAACGAAAAAAAACUGACUUCAUAUGCAAGAAAUGAUGAACAACAAAGUAAGAACUCAACAGAAAUUUUUUUGAACAACAUUCUUAACAUACUUUCAGAUUCAACAAAAUAAAUAAAUCGAACAUAACAAGUAGACUCCAAUCACUAAAUUCGGAUUCAAUUAAACUUAUCAUAACACUAAAAUAGAUUCAAAUCACUAAGCUCAAUAAUCAAUUGAGCUUCAAAUCAAAUCUAACAACAUCACAAUCAAGAUCAGGGAUUCAAGUGAUUAAACUAACAUAUUUCUAUAUUAAAACUAAACAAGAACAAAUGAAUAAAACAAACUGAAGAAAUAAUCAAGAAAUGCAAGAUCAGGGAUUCAAGUGAUUAAACUAACAUAUUUCUAUAUUAAAACUAAACAAGAACAAAUGAAUAAAACAUACUGACAACAAUAAUCAAGAAACGAUAAACAACGAACAAGAAAAUAAUCAAAUAUAUACUGAUUUUAGAUCCGAAAAUAUCAAACAAAAUAUGGACAUAAAUGAAACUUAAACCAACUAACCGGAUCGAAACAAUGACGAACUCGAACGAAAACAGAUCUGCCCGGAAAUUUUGAAAUCCAAAAUAACUCGAAUCUUGCCAAUUUAUCAACACUUAUCUCGACGAACAACCCCAAAUGGACAACCUUUCUCAAACAGAAAAUGAUUUCGAAUCACGCUGACGAAUACGAACAGAACAACCAGAACGAAUUUGCUCAGUCCCUUCGUACUUUGUUUUUAUUUAUUUUUUUCUGUUGGUGUGUAUGUGCGUGAGCAGAUGAGGUGCGUCAAUGACUGGUUAACGACGAAAGGGGUCAUUUGGAAGCUGAAAAAGCAGACGCAGUGACGAAGUAGCAGACGUAGUAAGUUGGUUUCAGCUGGUUGUUCUGGUGGAGGUCUGUUUGGACGGAGGAAGGUGACACUGGUGAGGGGUCGCUCGGUGUGAGGGAAAACGGGCUAAAGCUGGUCUUUGGACGUGAAGAAAUGGGUUCGUUUGGACGCGAGACAGGUUGGCUGAUCGGCGGAAGUUCAGGUGUAGAGAUGGUUCGCUCAUGGAGGCGAGGCAGCCAUGGUUGUUGGAUUUGUCGGGGGUGAGGGCCGGUAGUGUCGUCGUUAAGACGAUGGGAAUGGGAGGGGAAGCCAUGGUUGGAGGGGUUAGGAGCUUGGAGGUUUUAGGGUGUUGUUUGGAGAAGAAGAGCAAGGGGGCGGGUGAUUAGGUUAGGGUUUUUUGGGUG